UGAAGCUUUGCAGUGUCAGCAGCAAAGGCGGCUGUGAAGUUAUCAUCAUCAUCUCGCCGGCAACGCUAACCGAUUGAACGCAACGAAACAAAUCGCUUCAAAAUGGCAGAAUGUUUUUCACCAUCAAACGACAAUUUGUGUGUGUGUGUGUGCGUGUGCUGUGCAAUUGUACAAAAGAAUUGUUGUGAGGCCCGCCCGGAAAGAAGAGAAACCCAUUUAGAGGUGUGCAUCAAUGGCGUUGCGUAGGGAGGUUACAGCUUUUUUCCUACGAAACAGUGCAAUGAAUGCUUCAAGACACUCAAAACUCGAAAUGUGAACAACGACAACUAACGUUGUUUCCAUCGUCAUUACUUCCACGUGCAUCAUAGCAACC